GAUGAACGCUGGCGGCGUGCCUAAUACAUGCAAGUCGAGCGAACGGACGAUAAGCUUGCUUCUCUGAUGUUAGCGGCGGACGGGUGAGUAACACGUGGAUAACCUACCUAUAAGACUGGGAUAACUUCGGGAAACCGGAGCUAAUACCGGAUAAUAUUUUGAACCGCAUGGUUCAAAAGUGAAAGACGGUCUUGCUGUCACUUAUAGAUGGAUCCGCGCUGCAUUAGCUAGUUGGUAAGGUAACGGCUUACCAAGGCAACGAUGCAUAGCCGACCUGAGAGGGUGAUCGGCCACAUUGGAACUGAGACACGGUCCAGACUCCUACGGGAGGCAGCAGUAGGGAAUCUUCCGCAAUGGGCGAAAGCCUGACGGAGCAACGCCGCGUGAGUGAUGAAGGUCUUCGGAUCGUAAAACUCUGUUAUUAGGGAAGAACAGAUGUGUAAGUAACUGUGCACAUCUUGACGGUACCUAAUCAGAAAGCCACGGCUAACUACGUG
rnacentral:rRNA from 1 species